UAACUUGAGAGUUUGAUCAUGGCUCAGAACGUACGCUGGCGGCACGCCUAACACAUGCAAGUCGAACGAAGUAGCAAUACUUAGUGGCAGACGGGUGAGUAACAUGUGGGUAUCUACCCUUUGGCCUGGAAUAACACGAGGAAACUUGUGCUAAUACCGGAUAAGUCUUUACGGAGAAAGCUUUAUGCACCAUUGGAUGAGCCCGCACUUGAUUAGUUUGUUGGUAGGGUAAUGGCCUACCAAGACUAUGAUCAAUAGCUGAUUUGAGAGGAUGAUCAGCCACAUUGGGACUGAGACACGGCCCAAACUCCUACGGGAGGCAGCAGUGGGGAAUCUUGCACAAUGGAGGAAACUCUGAUGCAGCGAUGCCGCGUGAGUGAAGAAGGCCCUUGGGUUGUAAAGCUCUUUCGUCGGGGAAGAAAAUGACUGUACCCGAAUAAGAAGGUCCGGCUAACUU
rnacentral:rRNA from 1 species